AGAGUUCAUAUCGACGGCGGUGUUUGGCACCUCGAUGUCGGCUCAUCACAUCCUGGGGCUGAAGUAGGUCCCAAGGGUAUGGCUGUUCGCCAUUUAAAGUGGUACGCGAGCUGGGUUUAGAACGUCGUGAGACAGUUCGGUCCCUAUCUGCCGUGGGCGCUGGAGAAUUGAGGGGGGCUGCUCCUAGUACGAGAGGACCGGAGUGGACGCAUCACUGGUGUUCGGGUUGUCAUGCCAAUGGCACUGCCCGGUAGCUAAAUGCGGAAGAGAUAAGUGCUGAAAGCAUCUAAGCACGAAACUUGCCCCGAGAUGAGUUCUCCCUGAGACUUUAAGUCUCCUGAAGGAACGUUGAAGACGACGACGUUGAUAGGCCGGGUGUGUAAGCGCAGCGAUGCGUUGAGCUAACCGGUACUAAUGAACCGUGAGGCUUAACCUUACAACGCCGAAG
rnacentral:rRNA from 1 species